CAGCAGUGGGGAAUAUUGCACAAUGGGCGCAAGCCUGAUGCAGCCAUGCCGCGUGUAUGAAGAAGGCCUUCGGGUUGUAAAGUACUUUCAGCAGUGAGGAAGGUGGGUAUGUUAAUAGCAUAUUCAUUUGACGUUAGCUGCAGAAGAAGCACCGGCUAACUCCGUGCCAGCAGCCGCGGUAAUACGGAGGGUGCGAGCGUUAAUCGGAAUUACUGGGCGUAAAGCGCAUGCAGGUGGUUGUUAAGUCAGAUGUGAAAGCCCGGGGCUCAACCUCGGAAUUGCAUUUGAAACUGGCAAACUAGAGUACUGUAGAGGGGGUAGAAUUUCAGGUGUAGCGGUGAAAUGCGUAGAGAUCUGAAGGAAUACCGGUGGCGAAGGCGGCCCCCUGGACAGAUACUGACACUCAGAUGCGAAAGCGUGGGGAGCAAACAGGAUUAGAUACCCUGGUAG
rnacentral:rRNA from 1 species